AGCAAAAUGAGGAGGAUAUAUGAUCUGAAGUAUCUCCUGUUGAUACAACCAUACAUGGUCUUCAAAGUUCUCUGAUUGUU